rnacentral:rRNA from 1 species
UUAGAGUUUGAUCAUGGCUCAGAACGUACGCUGGCGGCACGCCUAACACAUGCAAGUCGAACGAAGUAGCAAUACUUAGUGGCAGACGGGUGAGUAACAUGUAGGUAUCUUCCCUUUGGCCAGGAAUAACACGAGGAAACUUGUGCUAAUACUGGAUAAGUCUUUACGGAGAAAGCUUUAUGCACCAAUGGAUGAGCCUGCACUUGAUUAGUUUGUUGGUAGGGUAAUGGCCUACCAAGACUGUGAUCAAUAGCUGAUUUGAGAGGAUGAUCAGCCACAUUGGGACUGAGACACGGCCCAAACUCCUACGGGAGGCAGCAGUGGGGAAUCUUGCACAAUGGAGGAAACUCUGAUGCAGCGAUGCCGCGUGAGUGAAGAAGGCCUUUGGGUUGUAAAGCUCUUUCGUCGGGGAAGAAAAUGACUGUACCCGAAUAAGAAGGUCCGGCUAACUUCGUGCCAGCAGCCGCGGUAAUACGAAGGGACCUAGCGUAGUUCGGAAUUACUGGGCUUAAAGAGUUCGUAGGUGGUUGAAAUAGUUGGUGGUGAAAUCCCAGAGCUUAACUCUGGAACUGCCAUCAAAACUUUUCAGCUAGAGUUUGAUAGAGGAAAGCAGAAUUUCUAGUGUAGAGGUGAAAUUCGUAGAUAUUAGAAAGAAUACCAAUUGCGAAGGCAGCUUUCUGGAUCAUUACUGACACUGAGGAACGAAAGCAUGGGUAGCGAAGAGGAUUAGAUACCCUCGUAGUCCAUGCCGUAAACGAUGUGUGUUAGACGUUGGAAAUUUAUUUUCAGUGUCGCAGCGAAAGCGAUAAACACACCGCCUGGGGAGUACGACCGCAAGGUUAAAACUCAAAUGAAUUGACGGGGACCCGCACAAGUAGUGGAGCAUGUGGUUUAAUUCGAAGAUACGCGCAGAACCUUACCAACACUUGACAUGUUCGUCGCGACUUUAAGAGAUUAAAGUUUUCGGUUCGGCCGGACGAAACACAGGUGCUGCAUGGCUGUCGUCAGCUCGUGUCGUGAGAUGUUGGGUUAAGUCCCGCAACGAGCGCAACCCUCACUUUUAGUUGCCAUCAUUUAGUUGGGCACUCUGAAAGAACUGCCAGUGAUAAGCUGGAGGAAGGUGGGGAUGACGUCAAGUCCUCAUGGCCCUUACGUGUUGGGCUACACACGUGCUACAAUGGUAUUUACAACAGGAAGCAAGACGGCGACGUUAAGCAAAUCCUUAAAAAAUACCUCAGUUCGGAUUGCACUCUGCAACUCGAGUGCAUGAAGCUGGAAUUACUAGUAAUCGUGGAUCAGCGUGCCACGGUGAAUGCGUUCCCGGGUUCUUGUACACACCGCCCGU